rnacentral:rRNA from 1 species
AUGCACGCUGGCGGCGUGCCUAAUACAUGCAAGUCGAGCGAACGGACGAGAAGCUUGCUUCUCUGAUGUUAGCGGCGGACGGGUGAGUAACACGUGGAUAACCUACCUAUAAGACUGGGAUAACUUCGGGAAACCGGAGCUAAUACCGGAUAAUAUUUUGAACCGCAUGGUUCAAAAGUGAAAGACGGUCUUGCUGUCACUUAUAGAUGGAUCCGCGCUGCAUUAGCUAGUUGGUAAGGUAACGGCUUACCAAGGCAACGAUGCAUAGCCGACCUGGGAGGGUGAUCGGCCACACUGGAACUGAGACACGGUCCAGACUCCUACGGGAGGCAGCAGUAGGGAAUCUUCCGCAAUGGGCGAAAGCCUGACGGAGCAACGCCGCGUGAGUGAUGAAGGUCUUCGGAUCGUAAAACUCUGUUAUUAGGGAAGAACAUAUGUGUAAGUAACUGUGCACAUCUUGACGGUACCUAAUCAGAAAGCCACGGCUAACUACGUG